GAAGAUUAUAUCAACAAUGAGUAUUACACUUUUGGAAUAUACGAACAGAUUUAUUCUCUCUUAAUCAGUGAGAAAAAAUUAAUAUUGAUCGCCAAAUUACUGGAAAUGACCUUGCCUUCAUUAUGCUUCACAUCUUGCUAUUACAAUCUAUUGUUGAAGG